AAGACGAGUAUCCAUAUGCAACUCCACUCAAAGUUGAAGCAUUUAUUCCUUUUCUUUUAGAUUGUGUGGAAAGCGCGUGAUUUCAACAAUUAAAGAAUAUUUUAAUUACUCCAACGGUUCUUGCAUCGAAACAUAAAUACAGAGACAAAGUCUUUGCAAUCGUAUGCCUAAACAUCCAGCGCAUUUCAUUGGCACUUUCCUUUACAUUUCCUUUGUAUUUAUCUGGGUUUAUCUGAUUUUGUACCAGCACAAGCUAAUUGAGAAGAUGGUUAGUCCAGUUCCUUGUACGGAAAGGCUUAUGCAGCGUUACAAUAUUCAUGGCCAUCGCCUAGUAGUGGGGUCUCUCUUUCAUUCUCUCUUAGAAACAUAAACACAAACGCUUACAAAGCAUUAGUUAUUUCAUCUUGUUUACUUCCAUAUGUCUUGGUUUGAUUUAUGUUAGAUGAAAAGCUCUAGUUUGUGGUUAAGAGUUGACUUCAUUGUUAUGAAUGAUUGAUUUUUAAUGUUUUAAUUUGAAGUAAAUAUGCAAUACAUAGGAAGAUUUGUAAUUUUUAAGUUGAAAUGAAGGUUUUGAGCAAGGCAUUGGUUCGAUUUCGAGUUCUUCAUUGGAUUCGAAAGGNNNNN
rnacentral:lncRNA from 1 species